UGGAGAGAAGCCCCCCUCAUCCCUCCCCAGUCCCCACGCCAUGUUCCUCCGUCUCCCGGCCGUCGCAUCUGGAGAGAAGAGAGCCGAGAUUCGCGGCACCAGCUCGCCGCACGCCGCUCCAGCUCGACCCUACCCGCAGUCGGGCCGCUCCUACACACGCUCCGCCAUCGUCGCCUCCCUCGGCGAUCUGUGCGCCGCGGUGUCGUCGUCCUCAGAUCCGCUCGCGGACAUGGCGCCGGAGCAUAGCAGCCCGUGGAAAGGGAGCGAGCACAGGCGGUCCUGCCGCGCCUCUCCUCAGCUUCACCUCCGGCCAUGCCCCUCCUCGCCUCCCCCACCCCCUCCAGUUCCCCACCAUGCAGUCCUCCCUGAGGCUACGGAUGGCGCUGGCGCCGGCGCCGGCGUCGGCAGGGGGUGACGGUAAGGAGCACCUCCUGGAGGUGCGGUGCACCGCAGUGUGCAGUCUCCUGGCCGUCUACCUUUCAGAUGCGACACACGGGUGAUGGUUGCGGCGGCGGCGGCGGGCAGCGGGUGCGGUCCGCGUAGGCGGCGGACGGAUGCACGGAAAUCACAUCUUUCUUCAACCUGCUCGUCUCCUCACAUCUAUGCGUGGAAAUCAGGAGCAGCGGAGGCAGGGUGGGCACCAAGCCGAAGAAAUACGGCACGCAGAUAGGCACACAUCAGUGGCAGGUCGGUUAGGUAUUUUGUAUACCCUUCCCCCUCCUUUUACCCUUUGUCCCAUGUUUAUGUUUAUGUGUAUGGAUUGCUUUACACAAUCCAUCUUGGUACACGAAAAGACAAUGCUUUCCUUUCAAUGCUUUUCAUGUUCUGCUUACCUAUAGCAAAUUUAGUUUAUCACAAUUCACUACCUGUGUGAAGACAGGUGCCCCUAAUAUCUUUGUUUCAUGAUUGUAGAGGCAAUGGUAAAACCUUUAAUCAGAUAUGUUUUCCAUGAAUCUUGUGUAAUCGUGUAACAAAAAUUUGUUAUUUAGAUAACCUUGUUUCUGUCUUACAAGAAUGGACUGACCAGACACAGAUUUUGAAUUAACUAUGGUCUUCAUGACUUCUGUGAAAAAAUCGAUCCUAAAUUUUUGCCGUUCAAUGAGUUAAAACCAACAAGCCUCACUAUCUUGUGAGUUUUUUUUAAUGAACUCCCCUUCUCUUGCAGGAAUGCACAGUUUAUGUUCACACAUACUGCGAAAUCUGAUGCAUGGCUCUCCAAUUAUGUCCAUAUGCAAACUUUAGUUGAGGUAAGCCCAACUUUCCCCUACAAGAAGUUUCCUUAUUGAUUCAACGUAGAAAUAAAUUUGGGUCAACAUAGCUGUAUUGUAGGUUUUUAGCAAAGAUAUCAUUGCCUUACUCCUUAACUGAUUAUUGAGCAAAUUUUAGAUAAAGUUAUGUACAAGUACCACAUCUCAGCGAUUAUAUGGUUAAGUUCAAUUUGGGAUGGUAGCAGUAAUCAACCUGCUGUGCUUUAUGUGAAUCGUAUUGAUGCCUGAAGCUCAUCUUUAUGUGAAUCGUAUUGAUGCCUGAAGCUCAUCUGUACUCAGUUCGUGCUCCUUGAAUUGUAUUCCUAUUUAUUUCAAUAGGCACGAUUCAUUUAGUAUAUUUUAUCACUUAAGUUUACCUAUGUCAGUUAUCGCUGCAACCUAUAUGUACAUUGAUACCUCAUAUUUUCUUUGAUUGAUUCUUACUAUUACUACUUCUUACUAGGUAGUACUAUUUUCCUUGGUGGAUCAUGAAGUCCUGGUAGCAAGUGGCAAUAGCUCAGUAGCUGUCAGUGGCUCAGUUGUAGCUCUUUCUGAUUCACAUAUUAAUUCUUGGUGGUUAUUAGUAACAACAUUUGAUAUAUAGUUCUGUUCAUGCUCUUAUUUUCGUUUAAGACAGGACUACCUAGAGUACUAUAUAUAUAUUUGUGCUGAUGCAUAUUUUUAUUUUGGUUGCAGAUUAUGGAUGAGAAGUUGGAUGCAAAGACGAAAACAUGAGUGUAAUAACUAGCUAUUCAAUGUGCUUCUUAACUUACCUGAGAUAUUUUUUUUUUGACAUGAUGUACCUUGAGAUAUUGGCUCUAAUAUAUACACUCUUUGAUUUUUGGGCUGUAAUUGUUGAUUUUAUUUAUGGGCUAAGUGGUGGGCUGAAUUUUAUA